rnacentral:rRNA from 1 species
GAUGAACGCUGGCGGCGUGCUUAAUACAUGCAAGUCGAGCGAACGGACGAGAAGCUUGCUUCUCUGAUGUUAGCGGCGGACGGGUGAGUAACACGUGGAUAACCUACCUAUAAGACUGGGAUAACUUCGGGAAACCGGAGCUAAUACCGGAUAAUAUUUUGAACCGCAUGGUUCAAAAGUGAAAGACGGUCUUGCUGUCACUUAUAGAUGGAUCCGCGCUGCAUUAGCUAGUUGGUAAGGUAACGGCUUACCAAGGCAACGAUGCAUAGCCGACCUGAUAGGGUGAUCGCCCACACUGGAACUGAGACACGGUCCAGACUCCUACGGGAGGCAGCAGUAGGGAAUCUUCCGCAAUGGGCGGAAGCCUGACGGAGCAACGCCGCGUGGGUGAUGAAGGUCUUCGGAUCGUAAAACUCUGUUAUUAGGGAAGAACAUAUGUGUAAGUAACUGUGCACAUCUUGACGGUACCUAAUCAGAAAGCCACGGCUAACUACGUG